AAUAUAGCUCAGUACUUGUAUUAUUUAUUUAUUGUAUUUUUGCUAAUAUUUAUCAAGGGAUCAAAUCAUUUGGGACCCCACUGUAUAUAUAAUAAUAAUAUAUGCCAUUUAGUAGACGCUUUUUUUUGCAUCAAUUUCACAUUCCUUUGUAUAUAGACUUCAAUGUAACAGUUUGAAUGCAACGGUUAGUAAUGGAACAGUUUGAAAGCAACAGUUUCAGCAUUAUUCUACUAUUACGCACGACAGUUUGCCCAAACUAUUUUGAGGUCUCCAAAGUGUACAUAACCUAGCCCCCGAUUGGGGCGCAUCUAACCUAAACCUGUCCACGUUGCUCCCCUGCACCUAUAAUCUCUCCAACUCCAACGAAACCGAAAGAAACCAAAAAAGUGAUUGAUUGAUCGUGGAAAUUGUCCUCGACUUGAUGGGACUGGAGUUUGCUGAAAUCCUAAGCCCACCGCUAGUAACCCAUGACAGAGAGGGAAACUAGAGACGCCAAUAUGAUUUCGGCGAUGUUGGGUAACCACUGAACUUCGGGAAAAUCACUGCACAUCCUGGGUCCGCUUGCCAACGCGUUGAGCCAUGAAAGCGUUUUUAAACACCCAAAUAGGCUACUAACCUUUUGGAUACAAUGUACACAGCCCGAUCACGAAUAACUCCCGCAGCUCCUGCUGGCUCCCGAGGACACGGAUUUGCUUGUCUGAAGAUCAUCCUAUAGAAAAUGAUAAAUGCUGCAGCACGUGUUGCGCUCCAUCCAUGGUAUGACGGAGCAGUUCCUGUGCCAGGGCUGGGACCAGGGACACGGGCGGGGCAGCAGACAGCAGAGGGGCAUGAAGAAGCCAGUGGAGAUGAUGGCAGUGCUGAUCAGACAGAACUGCAGGCACACUGACCUGGUGAGGAGACAGAAGAGAACAGCGCCGUGUGUGACUGCCCAGAGGACGAAGGGAAAGAAUAGGACGAGGAUGAGACUCAUCAGGGCACUGAUAAACUGUUGGCAGAAGCUGCAGAGUUUGUACACACCCACAAAAUAAUUUGAAAAAAAAGUUAUAUUUUUAUCAAAAUUGUUUGAAAAAAGCAUUUAUGGAUUGUGUUUGGUUCUUAUUUGGUAGAGUAGAAUGACAGUUUGUAUGUCAGGAAUGGCCCUCUGUUUAUGACCUUUUACUUCUUGUCUGUACAGUCCCACAUGUAUAAGCUAUAGGUCACCAUAGAUCAGGGAUGGGCCACUUUGAUGUGGGCCGGGGCCACAAAGAAAACAAACUGAUCAUGCUUACUAUAAGUUUAGAUAGCUAGCCGCUAGACUAACUUGCCAAUCUAAAAAUGUUUUAAAGACUUGGGCUAAUUAAGUGACUGCUGAUGCACAACCACAUGUCGAAAUUGCACCUUGUGUAAUCUAUUAUUCUAACUCUUAUCAGUAAGUUGAGACCCGACUGAGUUGCCCCAUUAAUUAUGGUUGUUAGAGGAUGGUUUUACAAUGCAGUGAAAAUAUUUACUUGUAAUACCUUGGUGCACACACAUUUUAUAACUCUUAGCUAUCUCACAAUCCAGAUAUUGUUUUUGUGAAACCGAUAGAUACAUUUGCUGUUCUAUGAAAUGUAUUCAAGAUGCCCAC
rnacentral:lncRNA from 1 species